rnacentral:rRNA from 1 species
AUCGGCUCUUUAACAUUGAGGU